rnacentral:rRNA from 1 species
GAUGAACGCUGGCGGCGUGCCUAAUACAUGCAAGUCGAGCGAACAGAUGAGGAGCUUGCUCCUCUGACGUUAGCGGCGGACGGGUGAGUAACACGUGGAUAACCUACCUAUAAGACUGGUAUAACUUCGGGAAACCGGCGCUAAUACCGGAUAAUAUAUUGAACCGCAUGGUUCAAUAGUGAAAGACGGUUUUGCUGUCACUUAUAGAUGGUUCCGGGCCGCAUUAGCUAGUUGGUAAGGUAACGGCUUACCAAGGCAACGAUGCGUAGCCGACCGGAGAGGGUGGUCGGCCACACUGGAACUGAGACACGGUCCAGACUCCUACGGGAGGCAGCAGUAGGGAAUCGUCCGCAAUGGGCGAAAGCCUGACGGAGCAACGCCGCGUGAGUGAUGAAGGUCUUCGGAUCGUAAAACUCUGUUAUUAGGGAAGAACAAAUGUGUAAGUAACUAUGCACGUCUUGACGGUACCUAAUCAGAAAGCCACGGCUAACUACGUG